GUGUAACACAUUCAGGAACGUAGAAGCACCCCCGCCGUACGGAGCUUUAAUGUGCCCCGAGAUCCGCCAAAAACCGCCAUCUUGCUUAGUGACGUCAAGCACACAAGUCGGGGGAAAAAGCAGUAAGAGCACAACUAUAGUUUAUAUAUCCAUUUUUUUUGCACGAUGCGCAUUCGCAUUCACGGCGCAGAACGUCUUACUCUCGUUUUCCAUUCGAAUAUAUUCAUGCACCUGUCAUAGUGACCAUUUCCCUUCUGCACUGAUAACAGAAUUUCUUCUGAAGACCCUUAAGAAGAAACUUGCGUGUUCAAAAGUACAACGCGUUAAACACAGUCCGUUGCCAGUGAAAAGAAAAAUGUCGGAAAUCACCUUGAAGUAAAAUAAUACACUAUGCCACUAGUAGCCCACUACGAGCUGCGUGGAACACGUUCCGCCAGUGUUCAUUACUCAAGGUCGUCCUUCCGAUGUCCCUAACCAAGAAGUGGAAAAGCAACGAGAGUGAAGGAAAAAAAUGACGGUGAGCGCACGUGCGUCUCUUAGCGCGAAACACGUGUCGCGUUUAGCAAAGAGAGGCUCAAGAUGGAGGGGUAUUAUCGAUUCUCGGACAUCGAUGAUCACGCCCUUCGGAACGAGUAUCUUUUUUCUUUCUCUGGCCCGAAUACAUUUCGGGAAUGAUAUUUUAAACAGGAUUUCAACGCGUGUCAAUGGUUUUGGCAUCCAUUAUCUACGCAGCCGGAAGCGGAGACAUUGCGAAGUUCGCUUAAGAAGGAAAACAGAAACCUAAAUAUUACGCGGCUGCCAUAUGCGUCGCAAAUGUUCUGCGCGACUUUCACGCGGAGGUAAAUCUGUUAUCGGGUUAAAAAUAUAUCAGAAAUGUAUCUGACAGAGGAACCCACGAACUUACAAAACUCCGAACUGUCAAUAUGUUGUCAGUGAAAGAAUAUACAGAAAGUAUUUUUCUAUAUGCGGAACAUAAAGAUGUACUCUAACCUCGAAAAUAAAUGUCCGUAUGAAAUCUAAUCUUUACAGAAA